GGUUAUGGCUCAGCGGUAGAGCGCUUGCCUCGAAUGUGCAAGGCCCUGGGUUCGAUCCUCAGCACCA
rnacentral:tRNA from 1 species